UACGUACCGUCCCAACGUUAUUCGGAAUCACUGGGCUUAAAGAGUUCGUAGGCGGCUCAGAAAGUUGGGUGUGAAAUCCCCCGGCUCAACCGGGGAAUGGCGCUCAAAACUACUGAGCUUGAGGGAGAUAGAGGUGAGCGGAACUGAUGGUGGAGCGGUGAAAUGCGUUGAUAUCAUCAGGAACACCGGAGGCGAAGGCGGCUCACUGGGUCUUACCUGACGCUGAGGAACGAAAGCUAGGGGAGCGAACGGG
rnacentral:rRNA from 1 species